UGAUCCGUUGUGAUAAGGAACCACACUGGCAAAGCUAUAUUUAUACUGUUCUGCCCCCAAUUUGCAGCUGGGAUAGAGUAUGAGAAAAUAUAGAUUGAUUGGACAGGAGGG